UCUUGCGCAAUGCGCGAAAGCGUGACGCAGCAACGCCGCGUGAGGGAAGAAGGCCUUCGGGUUGUAAACCUCUUUCAGUUGGGACGAAGCCACGACGGUUAAUACCCGUCUGUGGUGACGGUACCUUCAGAAGAAGCCCCGGCUAACUACGUGCCAGCAGCCGCGGUAAUACGUAGGGGGCAAGCGUUGUCCGGAAUCAUUGGGCGUAAAGCGCGUGUAGGCGGCUUGGUAAGUCCGCUCUGAAAGCCCGGGGCUCAACCCCGGGAGGCGGGUGGAUACUGUCAAGCUCGAGUCCGGAAGAGGCGAGUGGAAUUCCUGGUGUAGCGGUGAAAUGCGCAGAUAUCAGGAGGAACACCAAUGGCGAAGGCAGCUCGCUGGGACGUGACUGACGCUGAGACGCGAAAGCGUGGGGAGCAAACAG
rnacentral:rRNA from 1 species